CCUACGGGUGGCUGCAGUGAGGAAUAUUGGUCAAUGGGCGGAAGCCUGAACCAGCCAAGUAGCGUGCGGGAUGAAGGCCCUACGGGUCGUAAACCGCUUUUGCACGGGGAUAACACCCUCCACUUGUGGAGGUCUGCAGGUACCGUGCGAAUAAGGGCCGGCUAAUUCCGUGCCAGCAGCCGCGGUAAUACGGAAGGCCCGAGCGUUAUCCGGAUUCAUUGGGCUUAAAGGGAGCGUAGGCGGGCGUUCAAGUCAGCUGUAAAAUCGCGCGGCUCAACCGCGCCCCGCAGUUGAAACUGGACGCAUUGAGUUCACAACAGGCAGGCGGAAUGCGUGGUGUAGCGGUGAAAUGCUUAGAUAUCACGCAGAACCCCGAUUGCGAAGGCAGCCUGCCAAGCCAUGACUGACGCUGAUGCACGAAAGCGUGGGGAUCAAACAGGAUUAGAUACCCGAGUAGUC
rnacentral:rRNA from 1 species